rnacentral:rRNA from 1 species
CUUAGAUGUGAUAUGGCUCAGAACGAACGCUGGCGGCAUGCUUAACACAUGCUAGUCGAACGCGUGUCGGGCUUCGGCCCGGCGCGAGUGGCGCACGGGUGAGUAGCGCGUGGGAACCUGCCCUGUUGUGGGGGAUAACCGAGGGAAACCUCGGCUAAUACCGCAUGAGCCGGAGAAAUCCGGGAAAGAUUUCUCGCGACAGGAGGGGCCCGCGUCGGAUUAGGUAGUUGGUGGGGUAACGGCCUACCUAGCCUGUGAUCCGUAGCUGGUCUGAGAGGAUGAUCAGCCACACUGGGACUGAGACACGGCCCAGACUCCUACGGGAGGCAGCAGUGGGGAAUAUUGGACAAUGGGCGAAAGCCUGAUCCAGCAAUGCCGCGUGAGUGAGGAAGGCCUUAGGGUUGUAAAGCUCUUUCGCACGCGACGAUGAUGACGGUAGCGUGAGAAGAAGCCCCGGCUAACUUCGUGCCAGCAGCCGCGGUAAUACGAAGGGGGCGAGCGUUGUUCGGAUUUACUGGGCGUAAAGGGCGCGUAUGCGGCCAUCUUUGUCACGCGUGAAAGCCCCGGGCUCAACCUGGGAACUGCGUCUGGGACGGGGUGGCUAGAGAUCGGGAGAGGAGCGUGGAAUUCCCAGUGUAGAGGUGAAAUUCGUAGAUAUUGGGAAGAACACCGGUGGCGAAGGCGGCGCUCUGGACCGACACUGACGCUGAGGCGCNGAAGCGUGGGGAGCAAACAGGAUUAGAUACC